rnacentral:rRNA from 1 species
CCCUAUUAUAAAAAAUGUAAAAAUUUGUGCUAGAGUAGUAGUAGUUAAGUUCUUGAAAUUCAAAAGAUUUGGCGGUAUUUUAGUCUUUUCAGAGGAACCUGUCCUAUAAUUGAUGAUCCACGAUUAAUUGUACUUAAUUUACUAGUUUGUAUAUCGUCGUCAGUUGAAUAUCCUUAAAGGGAACAGUAAUGUUCAUAAUUUAUAAUUUAUAAAGUAAAUCAGAUCAAGAUACAGUUUAUAAUUAAGAAGAGAUGGGUUACAAUAAAUUUAUUUAUAUGGAUGUAUUAAUUAACAUUUUUAUUGAAAUUGGAUUUGAAGGUAAUAUAUUUAAGUUAAAAUGUAUGAUUUAAGCUCUAAAAUAUG